AGGAGGAACAACCCCAGUGGUUGCUGCAGCUCUGGAAACCUGGAUUCAGCUCCCGCAGGAACUAUUCUGUCUGUAGGGCCUGGAGGCUCCGGGGUGGG
rnacentral:pre_miRNA from 1 species